GGGCCCGCACAAGCGGAGGAACAUGUGGUUUAAUUCGAUGAUACGCGAGGAACCUUACCCGGGCUUGAAAUGGAGUGGAAUAUCGGUGAAAGCCGAUAGUCAGCAAUGACCACUUUGUAGGUGCUGCAUGGUUGUCGUCAGCUCGUGCCGUGAGGUGUCGGCUUAAGUGCCAUAACGAGCGCAACCCCCAUCGUUAGUUGCCAGCGGGUAAAGCCGGGGACUCUAGCGAGACUGCCACCGUAAGGUGUGAGGAAGGCGGGGAUGACGUCAAAUCAGCACGGCCCUUACGUCCGGGGCGACACACGUGUUACAAUGGGAGGUACAAAGGGCGGCCGACCUGGCGACAGGGCGCCAAUCCCGAAAACCUCUCUCAGUUCGGAUCGGAGUCUGCAACUCGACUCCGUGAAGCUGGAUUCGCUAGUAAUCGCGCAUCAGCCAUGGCG
rnacentral:rRNA from 1 species